rnacentral:lncRNA from 1 species
CUCGUGCCCUGUGGUGGUGCGGGCGGGCGCUGGGCACUCGGCCGGCUCGGGCUGCCUCCACAGCAGGUCGUUGCUGGGCUGGGGGACCUCGCGAAGACUCAUCGCUUCUGAAAAAGCAAGAGCAUCCCCACAACGAUGAGCACAGCCUUCCCGCAGCCACCCGGUGCAGACAACCCCUGCCGGCUCUGCUGCCCCCAAACUCACCGUUGUUGAUCCAAGUCAGGAGGCAGUGGAUGUCGCUGACGUCCUCCGGGACGUCUGAGCUCAUUGUCGCUGCUGGAAAAGCAAGAACAUCCCCAGUGGGCAAUGCCAGCUUUCCCACAGCCACCCGGUGCGGACAGCCUGCCGCCCGCUGCGCAGCCCCCAAACUCACCUCCUGAUUCCAGCGCUGCGCUGCUGCAGCCGAGCGGAGCCGUGGCGGGAUGGGGGCACACGUUGGUGGGCGCUGGGUGCCGCUGCUCCUGGGUGUGCGCCACGGCAUCUGCAAAGGGCCCCGUCGCCUGCUCCCAGCUGGCGGGCAGGGUGCAGGGCCCGGGGAGCACCCGCAGCUGCACUGGAGGUGCUCGGAGGACUGUGGAGGGGCCGGGGCCGGGGCGGCCGGGGGCCUGCAGCGGGCAGCUGCCUGCGGGCUGCGGGGGCUUCCCACGGCACACGGCCCCGGGCCGCAGCCCCAUCGGCUGCUGGCGCUGCCGCUGCCACUUCCCUGCCAGCCGGGGAUGUUGCCAGCAGUGGGCAGGGGCAUUGGGGGGAGGCAUACCCGGCUUCAUCCCGCCGGGUAGGAGCUGGAGGAGGGGUAACUGCCUCUCCCCGGGUGGCAGAUGACCCACAAUUGUGUACAGCCCCUCAGGUGUGAGCUGAACCACAAUUGGGGGCACCUCCUGAGGUGGGAUCAGACCCACAGUUUCGGGCAUUGCCCCAGCUGGCAGCUGAACCACAGUUAGAGGCAUACCCCCAAGUGGCAGCUGCGCUCCCUGUCCCUGCACACCCGGUACCCCCGGCUGGACAGAGGCCUGAGGCACCAUGGAGGUGACAUUGGGGGCAGGGACGGACUGGAAGGAUACGGGCACUGCUCCGCCAAUGGUGGUCUGCAUCGCAGCAGUGGCCGGUGGGGGCACAAAGAUCCAAAUAAAGUUGCGUCGGGUGUCGGAAGCACCGUCAGCGAUGAAGGGAUUCUCUCUGUGGGGAAAUUCCCAAAUGGGCGCCGGGGUGAGAUGUGGGGCACUGGGACCCCCUGGAGGGCUGCAGUGCCAGGAGCAGGAGGAGCCUGCUGCCUUACCUGCCGUGGCAGCUCGAGAGUGGCAGUGGGGGAUUCCGUGAGCGCUGGACAUCCUCCCUGGCUGCCCCUCACGUUGCCUCCCAUGCAUGGGGGGGCUGCAUGAUGCCCUGCAGCCCCAUUGCCCCCAGGUAACACCAGCACUCCCCCCCCACCUUUAUGGCCUGGGAGCUGCCCCCUGGAGAACGAGCACAGCCUCUGCCUCCCAGUGAGUGCUCAGCAGGCCUGGCUGCUCCUGGGCACCUCCACUGCUUCCUCUGCACUCUUCUUCAGGGGAUUGCAAUGGCAGGGGGUUACCGUCCCACACCCGGACAACCCGUGCUGGAAUGUGCUGUGGCUUCCUGAAUUCUGUUGUAGUAAUAAAUAAGAACUGGUAGCCGAGUUGUGCAUAUGGUUUUGUUGUUAUGUCACUGCCAGACACUGCAGGUCUGAGGGAAGAUGAGGCCUCAGGGUGCAGUAGGAGUUCUCAUCUCCGUGUCUGAACGCACUGUGCCUGCGGUGUAUCACCACUGCCUUGCCAAAGUCUCGGCCUGAUCUGCCCUGCGAAGCUCAGUGCAAUCCCCCAGCAAGGAACUUGAAGGGAAAGAGCAUCUGGGGUUAUUUUUGGUUCUUGAUCUUUUCUCUCUGCCAUUCUUUGUUCUUUACAUCCAUUUUUUCUUCCCCAUCCUUUCAGGCUGUGGGGAGAGCUCAUUGCAGCCUCCCACUGUUUCAAGGGAGCUGAUAAACAGGAGGGAAAUGAACUUUUUCUGAGGGGAGAUGGAGGUGGGACAAAGGAGAAUGGUUUUAACAUAAACGAGGGGAGAUUUGGGUCAGAUGUGGGGGAAGGUAUUCACAGAGGGGGAGCUGAGGCAGCAGUGAUGGUGAUGAAGACCAUCAGUCAGGAGGAGCUGCAGGAGCGGCAGCUCUCGGCUCACUGCAACCACACCAACAUCCCUGGAGGUGGGCUUUGGGGUGCGGGGGGUCUUUGGUGCUGCAGGAACCACUGCAGGCAGAGGGGUAGCAAAGUGAAUACAAACCAUUCAAUAAUUUAAUGUAAUUUAAUGUAAUAUAAUUUAACAUAACAUAACAGAACAGAACAUAAGAUAAGGUGAUGUAACGGAGUCCCACAUGGUCGCAGUGCACGGUGGUGGUGGUGGACAGCCCAGGUUUGGAGGGGUAGGGCCGGGGCCGGUGCUGGUGCCCCUGGAGCACUGCCGCUGCUCUGUGUGUGCCGCGGGGGCCGGCGAGGAGCCCAGGGCUCCAGGCACGGUUUCUGCGGGCGCUCCCGCUUGUGCUGAGCCCACCCAGCCUCGCCUAG